rnacentral:rRNA from 1 species
UACGAGGGGGGCGAGCGUUGUUCGGAAUUAUUGGGCGUAAAGGGCGCGUAGGCGGUGCGGUAAGUCACCUGUGAAACCUCUGGGCUUAACUCAGAGCCUGCAGGCGAAACUGCCGUGCUGGAGUGUGGGAGAGGUGCGUGGAAUUCCCGGUGUAGCGGUGAAAUGCGUAGAUAUCAGGAGGAACACCCGUGGCGAAAGCGGCUCUCUGGGACGGUACUGACGCUGAGACGCGAAAGCGUGGGGAGCAAACAGG